rnacentral:lncRNA from 1 species
AUUUUCUGCUAAUUUAUCUGCCCCGUUUCCAACAGAAAAUUCUAAAUCUUCUGUUUUAAUUCCGAUUUCAGCACAAGUCAUUCCCAACUUAUAUUUCACUUCUCUAAAUUCAAUAAAAAUAGUAUCUCACACUAUUUUUAUUUAUUUCUAUUUUUAUAUUUAAAUCCGGUAUAUUACAUUACACCGCAACCUUACUGGAACCAUUCAAAUGGCUCUCCAACCAAAUGGACACCGUAACCUCAUGAUUUUAGAAGUCCGGUACCUUGCAACAAGGUUAACCGGUAAGAUUGGGUAAGAGCCAGAGCUUAUUUAUGAUUUGAGCAUGCAUGCAUUUUCAUUAUUGCAUUGAGUAUAUGUAUCCACUGACGUUCUUCUGCAGGCAUAGUAUUAGAUGCAUUAGUAUUCGUUACUUUUCUUUCCUUGAAAUACUUAUGCCUGGAUAGACCUAGUGGGUAAGUCGGCGAGGUCAGAUGCCGAACCCACUGGGAACUUCGUCGUAGUUCUCAUACCACUAACCCUACAGGUCCUAGCACGAGCGGGGCGGCGGAGGACCGAGGCAAGGGUUUAGCGCCGUAGAUAGCGGCCACCAGGACCUUAUACAUUUUGUAGUCAUUCCCUUUUUGGUAUACAUGUAUCAACUUCUUUUGUUGAUUUAGAAAUUGUAAAGUUGAGAAUAAUUGUGUAUUAUGGUGAAUGACUAAAUAUAAAAAGAUAUGAUGGAUGAAUGGGAUGUAAUAGUUUUAUUUACUUGUAUUUGGUUUAAAUUUAAUCAAAUAUCAUGUAUGUUGUAUAUUUAGUUUAGAGCUUUCGCUUCCGUUGUUGCUU